rnacentral:rRNA from 1 species
AGGGUUUGAUUCUGGCUCAGAACGAACGUUAGCGGUGUGAAUUAGGCAUGCAAGUCGCGCGUGAAAGCCUUCGGGCGAGUAAAGCGGCGAAAGGGUGAGUAACACGUAGCCAAUCUAUCCCCUAGAUCGGAAUAACCACCGGAAACGGUGGCUAAUGCUGGAUGACGCCACGCCGGGGCAUCUCGGUGUGGCGAAACGGUGGCGCAAGCUGCUGCUAAGGGAGGAGGCUGCGGGCUAUCAGCUAGUUGGUGGGGUAACGGCCUACCAAGGCGAUGACGGCUACCGGGUCUGAGAGGACGGUCCGGCACACUGGGACUGAGACACUGCCCAGACUCCUACGGGAGGCUGCAGUCGAGAAUCUUCCGCAAUGGGCGAAAGCCUGACGGAGCGACGCCGCGUGGAGGACGAAGGCCUUCGGGUUGUAAACUCCUGUCACGAGUUAAGAAGGCGCAUGUGCGAACAGCAUAGGCGUUUGACGUAAGCUCGAGAGGAAGCACUGGCUAACUCUGUGCCAGCAGCCGCGGUAAUACAGAGAGUGCAAACGUUGUUCGGAAUUACUGGGCUUAAAGCGCGCGUAGGCGGCACUGUAAGUGUCUGGUGAAAUCCCACGGCUCACCCGUGGAACUGCCAGGCAUACUGCGGUGCUAGAGUGUGGUAGGGGAGAGCGGAACUCCUGGUGGAGCGGUGAAAUGCGUAGAUAUCAGGAGGAACACCGGUGGCGAAGGCGGCUCUCUGGUCCAUAACUGACGCUGAGGUGCGAAAGCUAGGGGAGCAAACGGGAUUAGAUACCCCGGUAGUCCUAGCUGUAAACGAUGGGCACUAGCUUGGGGUCUCCCUGUGUGAUCCCAGGUGAAGUAAAAAUGAUAAGUGCCCCGCCUGGGGAGUAUGGUCGCAAGGCUGAAACUCAAAGGAAUUGACGGGGGCUCA